AAGGAAGGACAGAAAUCAGUAAGAACUGCUAAUUCUUAUGCACCGCAGUUAAACUCCGCGGCUUCCUUG
rnacentral:tRNA from 1 species